UCCAGCCCAGGGGUUGAACCCACACUUUCUGCAUUGGCAGGUGUCUUCUGAUUGUCAAAAAUUGUGCACUUCCUCCACUUGGCAUGAACAAAAAUGGCGGUGAUGUUGAAGCGAUUUUGGCCUUGCUUGACCAAGAUCUGACAGAGGAAGAGUGGAUGCAGUUGUAUAUGGGGAGGAUACAAACUGCAAUCAAAAGCAACAGUGAACAGCCUGAAAAUGAAGUCUUCAGGGGCAGAAAGAGAAGCACUCUGUGCAAUUUUGCUGGGCUUGCCAGCGAUGCAAGGGUUGCAGGUAAGUCUGACUCUAGUUUUGAAAGGGCGUGCAUGUUCAGGGAGGUUUGUAGAUUGUUUUUGUGCCUGCAAAGAAUCAUGUGCUAGGAAAACACAUGGGGCUAGGCGGGAAGGCAUCCCGUGCUGCGUCAAGCCGUCCACACCGGCCACGCCAGCAUGGCAGAUGGAGCCUCAAGCUUUACAUCAGGCACAUGUUAGCUACCUGCCUGCCCUGAUUGACUCAGACAAGGAUGAGCUGUUAAAAGGUGACCUUUUCCUGUCUUUCUUGCACCCUGUCUCCUCUGCCUCCCACCACCCCAACCUCCGAGGAGUAAGCCUCACCUCUGCCAUCAGCGCCACUCAGCCUCCCAGGGAACUGGCUGACCUUUCAAUGCUGGCAGAUUGGAAUUUCACAAUAUGACAGAACAUUAAGCAAAGUGAAAAUAUGUAUGUCGGCUCACAUACAGGGACCUGCCCAGUUUUGCAAGAUCAGUUGGCUACUGCUCACAUUUUAAGUUGCGGUGUGCAGGCUUCUCACUGCAGUGGUUUCUCAGGUUGCAGAGCCAUGCAGGCUUCAGUGAGUGCAGUCCCCGGGCCCGAGAACACAGGGCCCGUAGUUGUGG